rnacentral:lncRNA from 1 species
CAGAAUCCCAGGACGGCAUCCACAGCUUUGGAAGGUGGAGCUGGCUCUCAAUCUGAUGGUGGACCAGACAGAUGCUCAGUGCUAGGUGUGAGGAUCCCACAGGGAUAGAGGCAACAGGAGGAAGCGAUCCAGGCCUUCUCCUCAGAUGAGGUAGUCCAUUCAGACAAUGGUAGCAGGAGUUUGGGGGUGAGUCGGGUGCGUGGGACAUUCCUGGUGGAAGAGGGGGGACCCUGGGGUUGCGAGGGUCAGAUGCUAGGGCUGCAGUGCUGCUCAUUGCUGGAUGGAGUAGGACACGCGUGGAGACAGGAGCUGAAGAUGAUCUGUUCAAGGCCAACCUGGAUUACAGGAUACCCCGAGUCAAAAAACAAAGAACAAGAAGCAGGCAAGAUGCUCAGUGAGAUUAAUUAAAUGAAUUUGCUGCCAAGCUUGACCUGAUUCAAGCUUCCAU